GAUGAAGAACGUAGCGAAAUGCGAUACGUAAUGUGAAUUGCAGAAUUCAGUGAAUCAUCGAAUCUUUGAACGCACAUUGCGCCCGCCAGCACUCUGGCGGGCAUGCCUGUUCGAGCGUCAUUUCAACCAUCAAGCCCCAGGCUUGCGUUGGAGCCCUGCGGCUGCCGCAGCCUCAUAAAAGCAGUGGCGGGCUCGCUAUCACACCGAGUGCAGUAGAUUACUCUUCGCUCAGGGCGUGCAGCGGGUUCCGGCCGUGAAACCCCCUACUUUUAAAGGUUGACCUCGGAUCAGGUAGGAAUACCCGCUGAACUUAAGCAUAUCAAUAAGCGGAGGA
rnacentral:misc_RNA from 1 species